GAUAAUAGCCAAUCUUAAAAGUCUAAUUUUUAAGAUCAGUUAUUACAAUGAUCGAUCUUAAAAGUUGAACUUUUAAGAUCGAUUAUUAGC
rnacentral:miRNA from 1 species